GGUCCUACCAUGAAAUUGACCGUGUACAAACCUAAUUGAGGGUAAAAGAAACGCGUUGGCGAAGUCGGUUCGGCAAUCCGUCGAGCCUACGCGAAGAUAUCGCCGAAAGAAGAUUUUCGGCUACAAUUGGCACGAGCGCGGGUCGCGAAUCUCGGGAAAGCGCGGGAAGCGAAUUUCUCGCGUCCAGGUAUCAACUAAAGGUUCGCACGUGAGCGGCGCGGCGGCGCGAGGACAGGGCGUAGCUUCGUAGAUAGCGCCCUACCACCGAGACCAGAGAUAGUAGUACCCUGAAGCAGUCUAGCUCAGAGUUCAGUAUGAAAGAAACAAACUUGUAUCGAAUUUGUAUAAAUUGUAUAAGUAUUAAAUUGUAUAAAGGCUUAUGUAAGAAUUUAAAGACUGAUGAAAUUUUCUAAAUGUAAAAUUGUGAGAUGAAUGCUUGUAA